rnacentral:rRNA from 1 species
GGGAUUGCCCUAGUAACGGCGAGUGAAGCGGCAACAGCUCAAAUUUGAAAUCUGGCUCUUUCAGAGUCCGAGUUGUAAUUUGCAGAGGGCGCUUUGGCGUUGGCAGCGGUCCAAGUUCUUUGGAACAGGACGUCACAGAGGGUGAGAAUCCCGUACGUGGUCGCUAGCCUUCGCCGUGUAAAGCCCCUUCGACGAGUCGAGUUGUUUGGGAAUGCAGCUCUAAAUGGGAGGUAAAUUUCUUCUAAAGCUAAAUACUGGCCAGAGACCGAUAGCGCACAAGUAGAGUGAUCGAAAGAUGAAAAGCACUUUGGAAAGAGAGUCAAAUAGCACGUGAAAUUGUUGAAAGGGAAGCGCUUGCAGCCAGACUUGCCUGUAGUUGCUUAUCCGGACUUUUGUCCGGUGCACUCUUCUGCGGGCAGGCCAGCAUCAGUUUGGGCGGUUGGAUAAAGGUCUCUGUCAUGUACCUCCUUUCGGGGAGGCCUUAUAGGGGAGACGACAUGCAACCAGCCUGGACUGAGGUCCGCGCAUCUGCUAGGAUGCUGGCGUAAUGGCUGUAAGCGGCCCGUCUUGAAACACGGACCAAGGAGUCUAACAUCUAUGCGAGUGUUUGGGUGUCAAGCCCAGACGCGUAAUGAAAGUGAACGGAGGUGGGAACCUUUUAGGUGCACCAUCGACCGAUCCUGAUGUCUUCGGAAGGAUUUGAGUAAGAGCAUGGCUGUUGGGACCCGAAAGAUGGUGAACUAUGCUUGAAUAGGGUGAAGCCAGAGGAAACUCUGGUGGAGGCUCGCAGCGGUUCUGACGUGCAAAUCGAUCGUCAAAUUUGGGCAUAGGGGCG